GCACUGGUUUAGCUCAGUGGUUACUUCGAGCACAAAUUCUAUCUGAAUUCCUCUCCGUCCCUCACCGGGAUCGAACCACGGGCGCUGUCUAGUGUUUUU
rnacentral:vault_RNA from 1 species